GGCGGCCUGACCCGUAGGCGCCGCCCCCGCCGGCGGCGGCUAUUGGCUGUGGCGCGGAGCGACCGCGCGCGGGCCAAUUGGGAGCGCGGGCACCCGGCGCCAGCGGCGCGGGGAGGUCGGCGGUGCCGGCGGCGGCGGGCGCAGUGCGCGAGGGGAGGAGCGGGAGGAGGCGGAGGAUGUUCCCGGCGGCGGCGGCCGGGGCAGCGCGGGCCAGAGGCGCGGCGCGCGGAGCCCUCGGCUGCCGGACGGCUCGCGGCGGCGGGCGGGCUGCCAGUGGCCGGCUCUGCGCUGCCCCGGGGGCUCUGAAGGCGAGUCCCAGGCUUUGUCUCCCGCGCUUCUUUCGUGCUGACGGUCAGGGAGCUCCGGGUCGGCGAAGGACGCGGGCGGGACGCCGCGGGGCUCGGGCCCGGACGCGACGGUCGGAAGGGAAGGGGCGGACAAAAAAAGACCAAAUGGCAAAGCAACCUUCAGAUGUAAGUUCUGAGUGUGACCGAGAAGGUGGACAAUUGCAGCCUGUUGAGAGGCCUCCUCAGCUCAGGCCUGGGGCCCCUACCUCUCUACAGACAGAGCAGCAAGGUAAUCCUGAAGGCGAAGGGGACCGCUGCCCCCAAGGCAGCCCUCAGGGCCCACUGGCCCCACCUGCCAGCCCCGGCCCUUUUGCUACCAGAUCCCCGCUUUUCAUCUUUGUGAGAAGAUCCUCCCUGCUGUCUCGAUCCUCCAGUGGGUAUUUCUCUUUUGACACAGACAGGAGCCCGGCACCCAUGAGUUGUGACAAAUCAACACAAACCCCAAGUCCUCCUUGCCAGGCCUUCAACCAUUAUCUCAGUGCAAUGGAACAUUUCCUCUCCCCGUGCGGGGUUUGCAGACUUGAAUCCACCUUUGUGGGCUCCAUUAACACUGAGACAGAACUCACAGCUUCCAGGAGGCAGUCUCAGGCUGUACCUGCAGAUAUGCGCCCGGAGAUGUGGAUUGCGCAGGAGUUGCGGCGUAUUGGAGACGAGUUUAAUGCAUAUUACCCAAGGAGGUUAGAGCAAUAGAGGAAGGUGUCGUGUAGUUGUCAUGUGUUCAGUCCACUUAAGGGCAGUGGGGAAGCGUAUGAAACGGAGCUGUGGAGUCUGAAUCCUUGAAGGAGGAGGUGUGAGAGGCACAGACUUCCCAUCUAAAAAGUCGCAAGAAUGGUACAAAGAACCCUCUUCUAUCUGCCGCCCGAGUUCCCCACCGUUCCCGUGUCGCCACAUCUGCUUUAAUGUUCUCCCCCUUCUAUACCUGUGCACGUGUUGUUUUCUGGACUCUGGGAAUAAAUGCUAGGUGUGAUGUUCUUUCGCCCUCAAAUCCAUCAAUGUGUGUUUCCUAAGAAUAAGAGUAUUCUCUUACAUAACCACAGUGUAAUUCUCAAAAUCAGGAAAUUAGCAGUGUGACAGUACUGUUAUGUAAUCUGUGGACCUCAUCCAAACUUUACCAGUUGUGCCAAAAAUGUCCUUUAUAGUAACAACAAAAAAAUAAAAAAGUUUUUUUUUUUUUCUGGCCCAGGAUCCAGUUUAAAGUCAUGCGUUAAAUUUAGUUGUCUUAUCCCUUUGAUGCCAUUGAUUUGGAACUAUUCCUCCGUCUCUGUGACCCUGACAUUUUUGAAGGGUCAGGACAGGUAUUUUAUGGAUACUCCCUGAAUUUGAUUUGAUUUGUCUGUUGUCUCCUUGGGAUAAGAUUCGAGUUGUGUGCUUGGGCAGGAGUACGGCACGGGCGACAUCGUGUCCUCUCCCAUCAGGUCCCCAACGGGGAGUCCGUUGGCCCUGUCACUGGUGAUGCUGACUCUACUCAAAGCUGGCACCUUCCAGUCGAAAGCCAGCGCGUUUGUAUUUGUAAUGGGAGGGAGGUGUGUGUAGAGGAUGAACGACUUCCUUUCCCCAUUAUAUUUUUAUCCCGUUCAUCAGCCUACAUUCAUGGGUCCCUGUUUAAUUCAGUAGGUUCCUCUGCAUUAUUAUCCUGGGUACUUACUUUGAUCCUCAGAUUGUCACAGAUCUGGCCAGUGGUGGGCCUCUGGUGUGUUUUUACCUGUCAGUUCAGCAUUAAAGGGCCUCAGUCGUGCAGGCACAUCUAGAACUUGCUCCAGGACAAAAUCCAAGCGCCCAUGGAGGUGGUGGAGCUUCCAGAAGGCAUCUGUUGCUGAGUAGUCUACACCCACAUGGUGCCGUGACUUUUCCAGCCCCACUCUGCACCCCACCCCUGUGUCCGGGCUCAAGGAUUGCUGGGGAGAGUGGAAGUCGGAGGACUUGGAGGGAAGAAGAUUUCUCAGAGAAGCUAGAUCUUUGUUUUGAGCUUUAUGAAGAGGGUGAGUGGCUGAUAUUCAGCUGAGUGGUGGGGCAUGGAGUGCUGUGUGCUUACUGCCCAAUCUAAGGGGAUGGUCCACUUGGAUGGGAUUCUUAGCCAUGGGCCAAGGGUGCAGGCCCGUCUGUGGAGCAUGUGCUGGGCCCUUCAGAACAUUGGAACAUGUGCUCUUGGGGUAAUUAGACCCAUCCUCUACUCCACGUCUGCCUCGCCCUCUUCCCCAUUACCAAGGCUGCCAUCGUUCACCUUUGGUGGCCUCCCCCAAGCCUUUGUAGUCAGGAUAUCCAGCCUAGUUUGCUCUGUGCACAGGUAGACUUCUCUUGGUUGAUAGUGACUUGGGGAUGUCCUGGCCGUGGCCUGCCUUGAGCAGCAGCAUGUGAAACUACGUCAGACCCUCUAGAUGGGCCAAGAAGUGAAUGAAAACCCUUUCAUUGUUUGAUCCCAAGAAACAGUGUAUCUUUUGUUUACACUGCUUGCUUCCUACUUCUUCUGUCCCAGGCAUGUGCAGGCAUGAGUAGACUGAACUGUAGGCCAACUGAAGUAUAGCACCAAACCAGACAAAGUAGAGAGGGAAAGGGAGGUGGCUCACAGACUGGUUUAGGUGGAAACAAAAGCUUAAUGGAAGUGUCACCCAUUUGCAUUUUCAUACAUGAUACAUGAACUUGAACUCUUCCUCUGCUGUCCUUCCCAGGACAUGAACUCCCUGUGCUGUCGGAUUCCUGGUUUUAUAAAUGAUACUGUUCUAUAGGUAAUGUACAAGGGGGAGGAUCUAAUCUGUAGCUCUCUUGUUUGGAAAUAGCAUAACCUGAAUAUAAACUCAGAGAUAUGUGUCCUCGGACAACAUUCCUUUGAGUCCCUCAAUAAUUGAACAUAGAAGCUUUGUAAAUGAGCCACUUUCUGUUACUGUUUGAGCAAAGAAUAGUGAAAAACCAGCAUAUGAAUUAGUACAUUGAAACUGGACGCAUCUCAUGAGAUGGUGAGUCGCCCGCAAGUUGAUAAAAUGACAGUUUUCAUAGCAAAAACUGUUGUGAGCAGCUUAAGUGAAUUAGUGCCCAUCAUUGAUCUGUGACACAGUUUGAAGAAUCGGUGAGUGUUUGCCUUCCAGCUGGAGGAGGGAGCUCAGGGUUUUGGCUUUAGGAGCCUUCCGAUGCCCCCAUUGCAGAGUCACUGGAGCCUGUGUGAUCCAGGAGUCAUCCUUCUUAUGGCUUCAGCCCUUUGUGUCUUUCCCUGAGACCUUCGGGACAGCACGUGGUUGCGCUCAUUGAUCCCAAUGGCAGCUGUGGAUGGCAGGUUUUCUGAACGAGGGCAUUCCAUGACUUGGGGAUAAAGUGUGAUCUUACAGGAAAGCAGGACUUGUGGACAGGUGUGAGAACUUUGGGGUGAGGCCUUGAAUCCUACUCUAUCCAUUAUAUCCUCUAGGCACCCCAUUUUCUCUCAGCCUCCUCAGGAUGUGGUGAAGGUCACAGGGACCCAUUCAGGGACGGAGCUAGAAAUUGCUAUCAUCGCUAGCCCGUCAUGCUGAGGUUUCUCUGCACUAGAACUGAAACAUUUCUCAGCUGGUCUUCAGAGUUGAGACGGAUGCUGCUGACUUGGUUCACUUGUUCAGCACCCUGCUUGUGUUGGGCCCUACCGAUGCAUGCUGUGUCUGGGUAUGCACAAACAGGAGACGGGGCUGGGGCGCUGGGGUGUGUUUCAAUGGCUGGGUGGGCAUCGCCCUGGGUGCGGCGGUGUCCGUACACGCUGCCCGCGGCUGCCGCUCCAUCCGCCUGUAGCAGGUGGGUACACCUGCACGCCUGCCUCGCGGUGGGUGGGGAGGACCCGGGCCAUUCACACAGAACUGUUCAGAGGUGCAGGUGCCCGGAGGGGGACUUCAGAGAGGUCUGUCUGGGGUUUUUUAAUCUCUGGAGGAGGAAAUGAAGAUGCACAUGAGGCGAGGCUCGCAGUCUGCAGCCGCUCUCACCAUCCUUCGCUAGCCGCCUCCCAGCUGAUCCAGAGCAGAGCGCUUGGGGCUGUGGUCACAGAGCGUUACGUCUCAGCAGCGCUUCUCUGGGGCUGGGGCAUGUCGGAGCCGUGUAUUCUUGCUCCAGGGCUCAUGUUUUGUCUGACGGAGGCCCCCCCGCCCCCCCGCACCCACGUAUCUCUGGCUCCUCUGCGGUUGCUCCCCAUGCAGUGCCACACAUCCCGGGUGACAGUCCGAGGGCCACCGAGUCAGAGAUCUGCCAGGAGAGGGGUGUGCGCCGUGCUGCCUGAAGAAAACCCUGGGAAUGCAGGGCCUGACAGCAAGUCAGCAGGGGAAGCGCUUGGUCUGCAGAAAGCCUGAGCUAUAAUAGUUUCUUUGAAAUGAUACAUCAGAAGCAAAGGAGAGGCAGAUUCACACUGAUGGGAUUUUUCUGUGACUUCCCCUCCUGGGGAGGUCAGCGGCUGCUCCCGAGGUGGGAGAACUCCCUCCCGCUCAGCCUGUGGGAGCAUCACGUCUGGGGGAGGGGCUCCUGGCACCCUUUCCACAGCUGUGUUGACAUCAGAGUGAGUUAGGCACAAGCUAUGCAAAUCCCCCCGUUGCCGUGGUGAUGAAUAGAAAGUGAAUCUGGGCAGCACUGCAGCAGCAGCCUGACACCUGAAAGCAGGAGGCUGUCAAACCUCCUCUAAAAUCUGGGCCGAGGUGGAGAGACCCAAGAUGCUCCGUGUGGUAGGCCCUUUUCCUCUCUGAUCUCUGCCUCCGUCACUUGUCAUGUAAAAUACUGUUUAGGUUGUUGGAGGUUAUAAAUGCAUAGAGGUGGUCUUCCAUCAGGAUCACUCCAGCUUGCUCUGCUCCACCCACCCACCCACCCAGUCAGCUUGGAUUGUGGCAACAACACCCAUGCGUGUCCUGGAAGAUGCCGCGACAGCCCCUAGGGGACCAGACACCACCCAGACACUCACGUGACCCGCUUGUCGAUCUGGGGCAGACGUUCCCUGUCAGUCUCAAUUGAGAGAAAAGAAUUCACAGUCCAGAAUUCUGUCUCUUCUAACAUGUUACCACUCAAAGAUUACAUCCUUCUAAAAAGGAAGAAAAAAAAUUACUAAGGACCUGUUAAGUAUUCAGUGUUGAAAUUCUGUAAGGGGUUUUUUGAGUGAGUUUAAAAAUUGCUGUGUGUUUCAGAGUUCUGUAGGUAUUCCUUGCUUUUUCACUUGUCUCUUAGAAUUUGCUUUUGAGCUCUCUGGUAUAAUGGUGAAGAUCAGGCCGUCUUUACCUUGUUACUUUGACUGCCAGGAAGCUCUUAGCCAAAGUCUGGCUCUUUGGCAGUAGACCUCAGCCCUGGUUCCCAGGGUAAGUCUCUCUUGAUGUCAUUUCUUACCUCUCUUAACAUUCAUGUUUUUUGCGCUGUGCCCAUCUGUGAUUUUUGUGCUUCAGCUUCCUUGAGUAAUGCCAAAUGUAUAUGUGUUGUCCUUUCUGAGUCCUUUGGCCCAGUGGGGAUUGGACCAGCCUUUGGAGUGUGGAUUAGUGAGCUCUUGUGCUGAAGUCUGAGUUGAGUUGACUUGAUUUUGAUUCUACAAGUUUGGUCUGUCCCCUCGUCUGUGAAAUCUGAAAGAGAGUUAUACUGGCCCACAGCUCAUUGUGAAGACUGAGAAGGUGUGUGGUAUGUCAUUUUGUUGAGUGGAGGCAGUGAGUGAGUGACUCUUCUGGACCCUGGGCAAGGGCACCCCAAAUCUGAAGGCCUGGUGUGUUUCGGGCGGCUUCUCAGAGCCUGGGCUCAUCUCUGCCUGCGGAAGAGCAGAGCUGGCCCCAGAACUGUGCUCUCCGGUUGUGCGGUGCUUCUCCCAACCACCCUGGACUGCCUGGGCUCAGGGUCUCUUGUAUCUGCAUGCUUGCUUCCCUGGACUGGGCAGGAGGGGAUAUUCUGCUCGGAUUAUUUUCGUAUUAUGAUAGUAAUUGAAUUCUGAUACUUGGUUGUUCCUCUCAAGUGUAAGUUGAAGGCGGUUCUCGUGCAGACGCCUCUGUGGAGGCUAGUGCUGUGUCCUGUGCCUGGCUGCUGCAGGCGGAGGUAGUCCUGUGUCUCAGGGCCGCGGUGGCUCAGAGGGCCCCAGCUUCUUGCAAGUCUGCCCGGACCCCACCCAAGGGUAUUCCUUUGGCACAGCCCCACCCCCAGCUGCCACCCAGGUUGAGCCCGUGUCCUCUGGUGAGGACAUAAGGGAACUGUUUGGGGAUUCCCUGCUGAAUGCUCUCAACACUGUCUCCAGGGACACUUCUCAGAUCUUCCAAGAAGCGCCUGAGUCUCCCGCAGGGAAGCAUGUCCCAGCUCUGGGCCUUCCUGCCCUGGAUAUCCCAGGGCCCUGCUUGCCUCUCUGGCGGGCGCUGCUUUCUCUGCCAUUUCAUUUACCUUGUGUAUUGCUAUUGUCCUAUUACCCCAUUUAUUUGUAUGGCUGUUCCCCACCAGAGCGUAAGCUUCAUAGAAAGAGAUGCUGUCAACACUUUUCUUGCAUCUUGACUCCACCUCGGCACAAGCCUCCCAUUUUCCUGGAAUGCAUAUAGGUGUUCUUUAUCUGCAAAGCGGGAACUUGAGUCCUGAUUACAGGAGCAGGGCAGCAGCUGUGGCUUUCUUACAGGCUGCUGUCACUGUUGGUAACACCCACGGUGGCCCUUGGGCUGGGCAUUGCUGUUUUGCACUUGUUGCUUAUGACAAGAGGAGUUGCCCACCGAGCCUAGUGGAUGCAGGCUUUCCGAGGCAGGCCCCAACACACUCCCUGCCCCAUGCAAGCAGGCCUAGGGGCUGUAGCCCCUGACCCAGACAGGAGUAUGGACUGUCAGAAUUAGUUCCUGGAGAGAGAUAAAAAGCUGAAUGUUGAAGGAGUCCUCUUCUGGACACAUGGGAUGGCCAUAAAAGUCAGUUACCCCAAAGGAUAUAGUUCCUGAUCUAAACGGUGGAGAUAAAAGACCCAACAGAAUGGGGCCCUACACUUCAAGCACUUGUGUUUUGUGUGUGUGUGUGUGUGUGUGUGUGUGUGCGCACGCCCGUGUGUGUAAGCAGAAGAGAUCACUAUAAUGCAUAAAUGGUUUGUACUUCGUAGCAUAUUUAUUUUAAAUAAUCUCCUUUAUCCAAAUGCAGCCCAUUAACAUAUCUUUCUAAAGUACUUUUAUGAAUUAAUGUAAAACAGCAUUAUACAACUCAGAUCUAAGAAGUGUUAUCUUAAAGAGGGAAGGAACCAGGAAUGUUCACUAAGCAUGAAAAGGUAUAUUCCUUUGCUAGGACUGCCAUAACAGAGUACCACGGGGAGGGGUGUGUUGAACAACAGAACUGUUCGCUCACAGUCCUGGAGGCCAGAGGACUGAGAUCUCGGGCUGGUUGUGCUGACAAGUGCUCGGAGCUGUUGGCUGGGGCCUGGCUGGUGUCCUCACCUGCCGGCGCCCAUGCCUCCUGCCCCUCGCUGGCAUCAUCAGGCACCUACCGUGUGCUCCUGUGAAUGAGCCGAUGCGUGCGGCUGCAGGUGCUAGAGGGCAGCGAGUCUGCGAGAAGCAGGAGCUGCCUGUCCUCCAGCUGCUCCGGAGCAACAGGCCGUACACGCUGAGCUGUGCCAGCUUCAGCCGGCUAUGCCAGCGGUCAAGGGUUUUCGGGACUGGUGUGGCCUUGGAAUUCAGUCAUAAUGGCUUCCUCCAUUGAAUGUUGUCCAAAAGCAGUUUCUUGCUGGCUUAAAAGCAAAAAGCAUGUGCCGUGUUGUCACACGCGCUGUCUGAGAGAGUAGGCGUCCUGCUGUCCUUCCUGAGUAGUUGUAGCAUCUUCUUGCUCAGGGAUUGGGUGUUCCUGUUGCCAGAAUUUCCUGCAUGGCCCCUGCCCCCUCCCCAGCUUCCUUUGAACAUCCCCAUGUCCUUUACACUUGACAUGCAAGCAGAACUCUAAAGAACUUGGAAAAACUGGUCUUGUGAUAAGACUCUUAAACGUCACGGCCACUGCCAUCCACCCGAUGUCCUCAAAGGGUAGGUGGGGGAUAUCUCCUCUCAGACGCGGCCAGUUCUGGAAUAUAAAAUGAGCUGCACGGAAGCAGUUGGGAUCUGUCCCCAACGUGGCCCUGUCCCUUUGCUGGAGUCACUUUGACCCCAUUCUCUUGUCUUACCGAGGCUGGGAGUGACACCUGGCUGACACAAGAUUUCCCACCUUGAAGAGAUUGCUUAGCCCUGUGCACGCUUUCUUCAUUUUAGUCUUUUUGAAUAAUUACCCAGCAGCCGAAGCCCACCCCCAAAUGAUUAUCUUACGACUGUUACGUUACAUCAUCCGCCUGGUGUGG